rnacentral:rRNA from 1 species
CCUACGGGAGGCAGCAGUGGGGAAUAUUGGACAAUGGGCGAAAGCCUGAUCCAGCAAUGCCGCGUGAGUGAUGAAGGCCUUCGGGUCGUAAAGCUCUUUUACCAGGGAUGAUAAUGACAGUACCUGGAGAAUAAGCUCCGGCUAACUCCGUGCCAGCAGCCGCGGUAAUACGGAGGGAGCUAGCGUUGUUCGGAAUUACUGGGCGUAAAGAGUACGUAGGCGGUUAUUCAAGUCAGAGGUGAAAGCCCGGGGCUCAACCCCGGAACUGCCUUUGAAACUAGAUAACUAGAGUCUUGGAGAGGUUAGUGGAAUUCCGAGUGUAGAGGUGAAAUUCGUAGAUAUUCGGAAGAACACCAGUGGCGAAGGCGACUAACUGGACAAGUACUGACGCUGAGGUACGAAAGCGUGGGGAGCAAACAGGAUUAGAUACCCUGGUAGUCCACGCCGUAAACGGUGAUAACUAGUUGUUCGGUCACUUGGUGACUGAGUGACGCAGCUAACGCAUUAAGUUAUCCGCCUGGGGAGUACGGUCGCAAGAUUAAAACUCAAAUGAAUUGACGG